rnacentral:rRNA from 1 species
GUAGGUGGCAAGCGUUGUCCGGAAUUAUUGGGCGUAAAGCGCGCGCAGGCGGUCCUUUAAGUCUGAUGUGAAAGCCCACGGCUCAACCGUGGAGGGUCAUUGGAAACUGGGGGACUUGAGUACAGAAGAGGAAAGCGGAAUUCCAAGUGUAGCGGUGAAAUGCGUAGAGAUUUGGAGGAACACCAGUGGCGAGGGCGGCUUUCUGGUCUGUAACUGACGCUGAGGCGCGAAAGCGUGGGGAGCAAACAGGAUUAGAUACCCUGGUAGUCCACGCUGUAAACGAUGAGUGCUAAGUGUUAGGGGGUUUCCCGCCCCUUAGUGCUGCAGCUAACGCAUUAAGCACUCCGCCUGGGGAGUACGGCCGCAAGGCUG